rnacentral:rRNA from 1 species
AUUAAACGCUGGCGGCAUGCCUUACACAUGCAAGUCGAACGGCAGCACGGGGGCAACCUUGGUGGCGAGUGGCGAACGGGUGAGUAAAGCAUCGGAACGUGCCCUGGAGUGGGGGAUAACGUAGCGAAAGUUACGCUAAUACCGCAUAUUCUGUGAGCAGGAAAGCAGGGGAUCGCAAGACCUUGCGCUCUGGGAGCGGCCGAUGUCGGAUUAGCUAGUUGGUGGGGUAAAGGCCUACCAAGGCGACGAUCCGUAGCGGGUCUGAGAGGAUGAUCCGCCACACUGGGACUGAGACACGGCCCAGACUCCUACGGGAGGCAGCAGUGGGGAAUUUUGGACAAUGGGCGCAAGCCUGAUCCAGCCAUGCCGCGUGAGUGAAGAAGGCCUCGG